UUGGAGGGCAAGUNUGGUGCCAGCAGCCGCGGUAAUUCCAGCUCCAAUAGCGUAUAUUAAAGUUGUUGCGGUUAAAAAGCUCGUAGUUGGAUUUCAGUUCCGGACUGACGGUUCACCGCCCGGUGUUUACUGUCACGCUCCGAACAGCCGCACCGCCGGCUCGCACGGGGUGCUCUUCAUCGAGUGUCCCGAGUGGCCGGCACGUUUACUUUGAAAAAAUUAGAGUGCUCAGAGCAGGCUCAUUUGAUGGCCUGAAUGUSUAUGCAUGGAAUAAUGGAAUAGGACCUCGGUUCUAUUUUGUUGGUUUUCGGAACCCGAGGUAAUGACUAAUAGGAACAGGCGGGGGCAUUCGUAUUGCGACGCUAGAGGUGAAAUUCUUGGACCGUCGCAAGACGAACUACUGCGAAAGCAUUUGCCAAGGAUGUUUUCAUUAAUCAAGAACGAAAGUUAGAGGUUCGAAGGCGAUCNNAUACCGCACCUAGUUCUAACCA
rnacentral:rRNA from 1 species